rnacentral:rRNA from 1 species
UACGAAGGGGGCUAGCGUUGUUCGGAAUUACUGGGCGUAAAGCGUGCGCAGGCGGCUUCUCAAGUCAGGGGUGAAAGCCCAGAGCUCAACUCUGGAAUUGCCUUUGAGACUGAGUGGCUUGAGUACGAGAGAGGUGAGUGGAAUUCCCAGUGUAGAGGUGAAAUUCGUAGAUAUUGGGAAGAACACCGGUGGCGAAGGCAGCCCCCUGGGUCAAGAUUGACGCUCAUGCACGAAAGCGUGGGGAGCAAACAGG